rnacentral:rRNA from 1 species
AUACCGGCGGCCCGAGUGGCGGCCACUAUUAUUGGGCCUAAAGCGUCCGUAGCCGGUCUGACAAGUCCCCCGGGAAAUCUGGUCGCUUAACGAUCAGGCUUCCGGGGGAUACUGCCAGACUAGGGACCGGGAGAGGCCGGGGGUAUUCCCGGGGUAGGGGUGAAAUCCUGUAAUCCCGGGAGGACCACCUGUGGCGAAGGCGCCCGGCUGGAACGGGUCCGACGGUGAGGGACGAAGGCCUGGGGAGCGAACCGGAUUAGAAACCCUAGUAGUCC